rnacentral:misc_RNA from 1 species
GAAAUGCGAUAAGUAAUGUGAAUUGCAGAAUUCAGUGAAUCAUCGAAUCUUUGAACGCACAUUGCGCCCCCUGGUAUUCCGGGGGGCAUGCCUGUUCGAGCGUCAUUUCACCACUCAAGCCUCGCUUGGUGUUGGGCGACGCGGUCCGCCGCGCGCCUCAAAUCGACCGGCUGGGUCUUCCGUCCCCUCAGCGUUGUGGAAACUAUUCGCUAAAGGGUGCCGCGGGAGGUCACGCCGCAAAACAACCCCAUUUCUAAGGUUGACCUCGGAUCAGGUAGGGAUACCCGCUGAACUUAAGC